rnacentral:rRNA from 1 species
GAUGAACGCUGGCGGCGCGCCUAACACAUGCAAGUCGAACGGUUAAAGCACCCUUUUGGGGGGUGUAAGGUGGCGAACGGCUGAGUAACACGUGGGCUACCUGCCCUCCUCUUGGGGAUAGCCUCGGGAAACCGAGGGUAAUACCCGAUACUUCACUGUGGCCGCAUGACGAGAUUGAGAAAGCUUUUGCGGGGAAGGAUGGGCCCGCGGCCUGUUAGCUUGUUGGUGGGGUAGAGGCCUACCAAGGCAAUGAUGGGUAGCUGGGUUGAGAGGCCGACCAGCCAGCAUGGGACUGAGACACGGGCCAGGCCCCCACGGGGAGGAGGGGGGGGGGAACAUGCCACAUGGGCGGGAGGCUGAUGGCGCGAAGGCGCGGGGGGGACGGAGGGCUUCGGGUUGGAAACCGGCUUCAGCAGGGACGAGGCGAUGAGUGACGGUACCUGGAGAAGAAGCCCCGGCUAACUACGUG